rnacentral:tRNA from 1 species
CCCUCGGUAGCUCAGUUGGUUAGAGCGCUGCACCGGAAUCGCAGGGCCGUAGGUUCAAUUCCUACCAGAGGAC